CAGCGCCACAGUCCUAUCCCCUUCCCCGUCACCUCUCUCUACCAACGAGCAACUCCAUAUCGAGCUCGAAGCCGCCGAUAGUCCGUGUGCCGCCCUUGCCACCACCCACCCCCAUCGACGACCAGCCGCUGCAAGCCUCAAUGACCAGCAGUAGCACGCGGUCCUUCCGUGGGAUGCAAGCGGAAGGCGCUGCCUGGCCCCGGCGACGAUGACCCGUAUCUCCAUUGACCGGCAAAGUUACCCUGGAAAAGGAUCCAACCAUUGAGCAUAUUAUUACUCCAAAACUUGGCAUAUGAGUGUGCGAAGCAUAUGCUUGUCAUCCUGCCUGACAUGAGUUCAUAUGCAGAUGCACUUCGUGAAGUUUCUGCUGCUCAAGCGUAUGUAUACUCACUUAGCAACUAUCUAUGAGAGUGUUCUGGUCAUAUAGAAGGAAGAAAAGGAUUAAUUACGCACUUACCUAUUUUAAAUAUGUUUAAUGAUGGUCAGUUUAUGAUACAUUGUUACUUUUCAGCCAAUCUUUUAUGAGCUGACGUAUUUUCUUUCCAACAUUGUACGCUAAAUUCAUACCAUUUGUUCAGUAUUACCCAUCUAACUCCUGACCUUAUUUACAAGUACCAAGGGCAUAUCUAUGUCUACAAGAAGCUACAUAAUUGACAGGCUGUCAUCCGGAAUCCUGAUCCAAACAAGAAAGAUGACUAGACUUGCGAUAGUCAAUUUCCUGAGCUGAGGUGGCAAGGAAGCAUCCAAAACUGCAACUAUGUUGGAAAGAAAUUAUGUGCACAUAUUAGUAUAACUGGUUUACUGUACAUGUUUUCUUCACGAGGCUGUAGUGUCUAGCUAGAGCGGUGGUCAUUCAGAGUUCAACCUUUCUCCAAAAUAUGCCCUAUUCAGCCUGGAAUGAAAACAAGUUUAGAAGUACGCGUGAUGCCACUCGAAGCUACCGAUGGCAUCUGCUUGCAGGUGAGUUCCUGGUGCCAGCUUAUGGUAAGUUAUGGCUACACGGUGUGCCUAAAAUCGAAUUGCAUCGAACUCCCAUAAACGUCUUCUAAGUGCAAUAGUAGUUAAUCUAUGAUCUAUCAUCUAAGGUAUGUGCCAAUAUGCACUCAAUUUACCUUAUGUGUUGCUAAUUGUUUUAUAUCCAACUCUUGGCAAAUGGUGUAGUUGUAGAUAUAUGAGACUAUGUUCACUCAUAAACUAAUUUGAUGUAAAAUUCCUUUACAUGUGGGUUGUUUUAGUUCAGAUGCUGCAUUGCAAUCUAGAACUAUGAGGCGGCAAUGCCAGCUUUAAUUUGGUUUGUGUCCUAAAAAAAAGAAAGCCAUUGUGUAGGUGUAACCGAUGUAUAACUGUUCUAAUAUUCACUCAAUUUAACUUAAUUUUUAUCCUCCAAAUUUUAUCUCUUUUACUGCAGGAA